AGAAGACUCACUGGUUAGCAGUGUGCACUGGUCCAGUAGAGGACCCGAGUUGGGUCCCCAGCAUCUAUGCCAAGUGGCUCACAAGGGUCAUCUUAGAAGACGCUGAGCUCUGAGGGCUCUAGUGCUCAUGCACACACACCUCUAGAUGCAAUUUAAAAUGAUAAUAAAUCUUAAGAACAAGAAAAUAUUUACUUUGGCUCCCAGUUACAUGAGAGCCUGUGCUGAGACAGCACGCCAUUGCUCACUUUGUGUACGGGACUAGAGAAAGGGGAAGUCCAAGUGCUCUCUUCCAAGACUCGUUCCUAACAAACAAAGGCAUCUCACUGGGCUAUCCCACCCUUCAAUGUUAGUCAUAGGCAGGGAGGAGAUUCUGGCAAUGGAACACUCAUCAGAAGCAUCUUGUUAACUGACCCAGCCGAAGAGAAAGGGAACUGGACUGGUUCGCAUCAGCUUCCAGCAAGCCCAGGCCUUGAAGUCAUUUGGAACAGUUUGUCCACAGCUGAUUUCUAGGUGGUAUCUGUCAGCAAGGUGGAAAUCUGCUAAAUCAGAUAUAGACUAGGGAUAGAAGUUAAAGUCAAGAAACUUAAAGGAAAAAAAUAUUACAUUUGUAGCUUUCAGGACCCUAGUCCUGGUGGUUAGGGGAGGAAUCCCAAAGUGGGGGGGAGUUGAGUUGGGGAGGGAGUGAUAUAGGCACAGACAACUAGGGUGUACUUAUCUAGAGUCUGUUUGAUCUGUGAGAGGUAGAUCCAAAACGGAACGACUUCCACAACUCCCUGAAGUAUUUUUGAUUUUUUUUUUUAGUUUAAAAAAAGAGAUAAAAAUUUUAGAUUUGAUAGCGUUAUCAUUGUUCACAAUCCGCACUGAAAUCCACAUUGUAGAAAAAGCAGCUAAUUCUGUAAACAGAGUAGAAGCAUGCUUAUGAGCUAGCAGAAGCGAUGGGUUUGCCUUAAAAAGUAUGGACAUUUGCUUCUCUGUCCAGAGGGCUGGGUACCCAGAUUGAGCCGAGAUGGUUUUAGCCCGGUCAGAAGCAGACAACCAAAGGAAACGUCAGAUCUUGAGCUUGUGACUAGUAAUGGUAAUCCGUGCUUUACCAGUUUAUCAGAAUUCCGUUAAUCGAUGUUAGAACUCUGAACUUCUGAGAUCUUAGUAUAACAACAACAUCAUAGAAGGGGACGGAAAUUUGAAACAUUUUGUAUUCUCUCAUUUUUUUCAUAUAUCUUAAAUAACUUCCUAAGGCCUUCAGAACUUACACAAUAUUUUACAUCCACAGAAGUUGCUUUCUUAGACCCCUGUAACUUACAUAGACUUCACAUCCCUUUCUUUCCGAUAUAAAUCAUUUGACAGAGACAUAAGUAGUUAUUACUGAGAGCUGUGACUGCAGAUGGUAAAGGGGGGAAGGGGAUGUUGAUAUCAUUAGACUACUUCCUGCUGAUUGGGGCACCAAGUUCCUUGGGGCAUGUCUAAUCUUCAUUGUCAGGAUAUCUCCAACCAGCCAAUAGCAGCAGCAAGGGCAGCAGCUGCUGCCACCUCUCUUGGGGCUGAAUAUCCGAAUUGGUAUUCUUUUAGUAUCAGAAUAAAACUUUGAGUCAUAAAUACAGUUCACAGGGACACUGGGAACUUACUUCCCCAGGCCUUCCAUGGCGCACCAUUACAGAUUGUCACAGUUCCUUAGGUGACUCUUAUCUAAAUAGCUAACGAUUAACAAAGUUGGCACAGACUAAGAGACUAGGCGUCCAUUCUUUGGUCAGUCUCUGUCAGCCUGGAUAGUCCCUGGUUAGGAAGACAUUCCAUGGUCUCUUUGCCAGACUGCUUAGGUCACUGACUUACUGCAUCCCAUGAUAGGAAUAUUCUAGGUUCCUCUGUUUGGUGCUGAUAGCUGCAGCUCUAAUUCGUUAGCCAUUCAUUCAUUCAUUACUUAUUUAUUUGAAGAUUACAUAUUAAUAAACUGGGCCGUGGUGGAGGACAUUUUUAAUCCCAGUACUUGGAGGGCAGAAGCAGGCAGAUCUGUGUGAAUCUGAGUCCAGCCUGGUCUACAAAGCGAGUUCCAGGUCAGCCAGGGCUGUUACACAAAGAAACCCUGUCUUAAAAAAACCAACCAAACAACCAAACAAACAAAACAAAAUGAAAACAAACAAACAAAACC
rnacentral:lncRNA from 1 species